rnacentral:rRNA from 1 species
GCCCCCUACGGGAGGCAGCAGUAGGGAAUCUUCCACAAUGGACGAAAGUCUGAUGGAGCAACGCCGCGUGAGUGAAGAAGGGUUUCGGCUCGUAAAGCUCUGUUGGUAGUGAAGAAAGAUAGAGGGAGUAACUGGCCUUUUUUUGACGGUAAUUACUUAGAAAGUCACGGCUAACUACGUGCCAGCAGCCGCGGUAAUACGUAGGUGGCAAGCGUUGUCCGGGUUUAUUGGGCGUAAAGAG